CAGGAACCAGCCGCAAAAGAGUGAAAAGUAACGGAAUGCUCCUGUGUAAGCAAUUGCCAGAAAAUUGUCUCGCACGCGCAAAUCGGAGGAUUGCGUUAGCCCUUUUGGCCUAAUGGGCGUUUAUGUUCAACUGAUUAUCUACUACAAUCCGCAAAUCUUUUUCGGAGUAACUAGUCACAGAGGCAACCGCUGUGAGGUGGAGAUCCCUGGGACCAUGGCUGCAGUGAAGCCAUACUGCCAGCAAACUGGGGACCAAAGAGGCAGUGCUGAGUAAGCGGGGCAUCUAGGCAAAUACCCCUGGCCUGCCCCAGACACUUGGAGAUCCACCAUGUUGAGGGGAAGGCCCCAUGGUGGAGGGAUGAGGAGGCUGUGCCUUGCUGCAGAUGGAAAAAUCGCCACAGAAUCUUCGCAGCUAUUUCCUCUCUCUAGGGUUUCCCAUGGAAGAGAUAUCUGGCCCAGGACAUGGUUAUUAAUAGCCUUCACAGCUUUACCCCUCUCUUAUUUGAAGGUCAAACAAAGUCAGUAUAAAAUAAGAAGUGAAAAAAAUCUCACUGCCAGGCUGUCAGCCUAGGAUUGUCUUGCAUGAACCAGCAGCUCUAGCAAAUCAAGACCAUUCUACAAGUAAUAAAGUAUUGUUGUGUGUAAAUCCACCACCUGAUCCUCUUCUAACUCCCUCCUAAAAUUUACCUGCCGCCUCCAUGAUGCCUUCACAUCGCUGCCCCGUGGCAUUGACUGGGAAAAGGGCAAGCCCAGACUGCUACUUUUCGACUAAACCCUGUUAAUUUUAUUAACUUAUCUUCCCAGCCCAUCCCCACUCUGUCUGUUUUGUCCCUCUGUCUCACCCUGUCUGACACCUAGACUGUAAGCAUUCUGGGGGAGUGACUCUCUCUGUACAGUGCCUGGCACAGUGGAGCUCUGAGACUAGACUGGGAAUCCUCAGCACUACUGCAAUACAAAUAAUACAUAAUGUGUCAGAAACCACCCUUUUGGGGAGAAGGAGAACUGAUCAGUGUUCACAAAUCUGCUGCUUAAAAGAUGAUGGGAUUCAUUAUCUGUUGUACCACUUCCCUUUAUGUCUUUCUUACAUAGCUUGUACCAACUAACAUUCACACCUUAGUUAUGAGAAUCAUCCCACCAUGUUUCAGCUGUGUGCACUAGGUGGUUCUCCCCACUGCUGGGAAUCACUUCUAGAUUGUGUUGCUUCCCUCUGCUCCCUGCAUUUAUGUAUGGACACUUAAUACACAAUUAAACCUCAUUAACUCUCAAUUAGGGCUGGUCUAUACUAGAAAAUUAGGUUAACCCACCUACAUUGUUCAGGGUGUAAAAAAUUCAAAAGCCGACCCAAGGCCCUGUGUAGAGAGCAUUUGGUCAACAACCUACCUAUCAUCUCUCGAGGUGGAUUACUUACCCUGACAGGAGAACCCCCACCAUUGGUGUAGGGAGUGUCUACACUGAAGUGCUACAGCCGCACAGCUGUAUUAUUGUAGCAUUUUAAAUGUAGAGAGGCCCUUAGUUGAUCUGCAAACCAGAUUAAUUCUCACCAAAACCCUGACAGUCUGACAUUGCUCCAUCUGUCAUGAGAGGAUUAAAGCAGGGAGAUACAGGAGAUCUCUACUCCCCUUUUGCUUUGGGAUUUUUUUUUAAGUGUCAUGGGCUUGCCCCAAUGUCAGUGAGAGUCUUUUCAUUGAGGUCAAUGGGCUUUGGAGCAAGCCUAAGGUACAUUGUCAUGAUUAAUAAAAGCAGAACCAUACUCAUAAAAAUGUGUAUUGUGUGCUAGUCUUUUCUUCUUUUUGCUAAUUCACAAAAUUAGAUAAUCCACAAUGGGCCUCCCAUUCAUUUUGUGCAAAUGAUGAAGGUUCAAGCAUCCAUUGCACCUUUAUAUUCUUAUUCUUCCCCUUUUCUUACAGAGUAUGUGUUCUUCCUUGUUAAUUACAUUAAAGUAGUUGUCUGCUUACUGAAACUGGAUGAGAACUCCCCUGCCCCAAUAGUCCUAAACUGAAAUUCACUAAUAAGCCUGGCUGUUUUGGGGGAGGUGACAUUCAAGUGUUGACCAGCUUAUCCAGUCAUCUCUCAUCUCAGAAACCAUUUCUAUGCUUUUUGAAUCCACAACCUUCCUCUUUACACCAUCAUCUUAUCUCCAGAGUUGUCUCCAGCAUCAGUUUUCACUUGGGACCUGAAGCAUCUGAGAAGAUCACCUCUAUCCACCAUGUUUUUUCUCAGAUCUCUCUGCACUUAUUUGGGAGCUCAUCUGUUUGCUGCUUUUCUAUUCAUUAGUUAAACUGAGCCUGAUCUACACACACAUUUUGUACCAGUGUAGUAGUUAAGGGUGGGACAUUUUUACUGAUAUAGUUAUACUGGUUCCAUCCCUAGUGUGCACACAGUUAUACCAAUAUAAAGCUGCCUAAUACAAGCAUAGAUUAUUCCUCUUCCCAUAAGAGAGUAAGGCCAUGUCUACACUGCGCUUUCGUCGUCAAAACUUCUGUCACUCAAGAGUGAAAAAAAACACUCCCCUGAACAACAAAAGUUUUAAUGACAAAAAGCUUCAGCGUGGACAGCACUUCAUCGGCAGGAGCCACUCUGCCAUUGACAAAGCUACCGCCCCUUGCAAUGGUGCGGCUUAGUGGCACAACCACGCUGUUGUAAGGUGCACAGUGUACACAGAGCCUGAAGAUAAGAGUGAUAUAAGCGCAUUUAUACCAGUAUAACUACAUCCACA